rfam:Triticum aestivum genome assembly, contig: Triticum_aestivum_CS42_TGACv1_scaffold_543530_6DS
CUAGUACUCCCUCCGUCCGGAAAUACUCGUCGGAGAAAUGGAUGUAUCUAGACAUAUUUUAGUUCUAGGUACAUCCAUUUUUAUCAUUUUCUCCGACAAGUAUUUCCGGACGGAGGGAGUAUCAA